CAGGAGGUUAUGCCGUAAAGGACGCCGUGGAACACAGCCUGUGCUGCGCAAUGUUCCGGACUUCACAAAGUGCUUGAAGCUUGCGGGCGAUUUUGCGGAGAGAAGCUUAAAUUCACAGCAGUGCAUCGUGGGAUUUUGCUUGCACGGAGUAUGUCAGCCUCUUAGUCGCCGAGUCAGUUGUACCGUACCUGACAAGAAGAUCGCUCCCUCAAGUAAAUCCGAGAAAUAAAGCAAACAUCACAGCAGACAAUGAGGCUUCUCAACUUCGCGGUGGAAAUCUUUGUCUGAAGCCUCCCGUUCCGAAAAUAGAUAAAAUCAACGUGCUUCUACAAGCUUUCUGAUUUGAAUAAAUCCUUGUUUUUUUUCAGAACA
rnacentral:lncRNA from 1 species